rnacentral:rRNA from 1 species
GAUCUGGCUGGGUGGUCCGCUUAACAGCGUGUACUGUUUGGCUGGGUCUUACUUCUUGGUGAGCCAGUGUGCCCUUUAUUGGUGUGCAUUGGGGAACCAGGACUUUUACCUUGAGAAAAUUAGAGUGUUUAAAGCAAGUGAAUAACAGCCUGAAUACAUUAGCAUGGAAUAAUAGAAUAG